rnacentral:rRNA from 1 species
UACGGAGGAUCCGAGCGUUAUCCGGAUUUAUUGGGUUUAAAGGGUGCGUAGGCGGCUUAGUAAGUCAGCGGUGAAAUUUUGCAGCUUAACUGUAACAGUGCCGUUGAUACUGCCAGGCUAGGAUUUGGUUGCUGUGGGUGGAAUGUGUGGUGUAGCGGUGAAAUGCUUAGAUAUCACACAGAAUAUCGAUUGCGAAGGCAGCUCACAAAGCCAAGAUUGACGCUGAGGCACGAGAGUGUGGGGAUCAAACA